rnacentral:rRNA from 1 species
UAGGAACAGAUGCUAAUACCGGAUAACAACACUAGACGCAUGUCUAGAGUUUAAAAGAAUGGUUCUGCUAUCACUCUUGGAUGGGACCUGCGGUGCAUUAGCUAGUUGGUAAGGGCAACGGGCUUACCAAGGCAAUGAUGCAUAGCCGAGUUGAGAGACUGAUCGGCCACAUUGGGACUGAGACACGGCCCAAACUCCUACGGGAGGCAGCAGUAGGGGAAUCUUCCACAAUGGACGCAAGUCUGAUGGAGCAACGCCGCGUGAGUGAAGAAGGGUUUCGGCUCGUAAAGCUCUGUUGGUAGUGAAGAAAGAUAGAGGUAGUAACUGACCUUUAUUUGACGGUAAUUACUUAGAAAAGUCACGGGCUAACUACGUGCCCAGCAGCCGCGGGUAAAUA